UCUUGCAAACUAAAGAUGGCGACCGGCGCACGGGUGAGUAACACGUAUCCAACCUGCCGAUAACUCGGGGAUAGCCUUUCGAAAGAAAGAUUAAUAUCCGAUAGUAUAUUAAAACCGCAUGGUUUUACUAUUAAAGAAUUUCGGUUAUCGAUGGGGAUGCGUUCCAUUAGUUUGUUGGCGGGGUAACGGCCCACCAAGACUACGAUGGAUAGGGGUUCUGAGAGGAAGGCCCCCACAUUGGAACUGAGACACGGUCCAA
rnacentral:rRNA from 1 species